GAUGAACGCUCGCGGGAGGCCUAACACGUGCAAGCCGAGCGGUAUUUGUUCUUCGGAACAGAGAGAGCGGCGCACGGGUGCGGAACACGUGUGCAACCUGCCUUUAUCUGGGGGAUAGCCUUUCGAAAGGAAGAUUAAUACCCCAUAAUAUAUUGAGUGGCAUCAUUUGAUAUUGAAAACUCCGGUGGAUAGAGAUGGGCACGCGCAAGAUUAGAUAGUUGGUGAGGUAACGGCUCACCAAGUCAAUGAUCUUUAGGGGGCCUGAGAGGGUGAUCCCCCACACUGGUACUGAGACACGGACCAGACUCCUACGGGAGGCAGCAGUGAGGAAUAUUGGACAAUGGGUUAGCGCCUGAUCCAGCCAUCCCGCGUGAAGGACGACGGCCCUAUGGGUUGUAAACUUCUUUUGUAUAGGGAUAAACCUACUCUCGUGAGAGUAGCUGAAGGUACUAUACGAAUAAGCACCGGCUAACUCCGUG
rnacentral:rRNA from 1 species